rnacentral:lncRNA from 1 species
CUGACCUGCUCUCUGGCUGGCUGCCUGGCUGGCUGGCUGGCUGGCUGGCUGGAUGGAUGGAUGGAUGGAGCAACAGAGAGGCUGGCUGGCUGGAGUAACAGAGAGACUGUCUGGCUGGAGUAACAGAGAGGCUGGCUGGAGUAACAGAGAGGCUGGAUGGAGUAACAGAGAGGCUGACUGGAGUAACAGAGAGGCUGGAUGGAGUAACAGAGAGGCUGGAUGGAGUAACAGAGAGGCUGACUGGAGUAACAGAGAGGCUGGCUGGCUGGAGUAACAGAGAGGCUGGCUGGCUGGAGUAACAGAGAGGCUGGCUGGCUGGAGUAACAGAGAGGCUGGCUGGACUAACAGAGAGGCUGGCUGGCUGGAGUAACAGAGAGGCUGGCUGGCUGGAGUAACAGAGAGGCUGGCUGGAGUAACAGAGAGGCUGGCUGGAGUAACAGAGAGGCUGGAUGGAGUAACAGAGAGGCUGACUGGCUGAGUAACAGAGAGGCUGGCUGGAGUAACAGAGAGGCUGGCUGGCUGGAGUAACAGAGAGGCUGGCUGGAGUAACAGAGAGGCUGGCUGGAGUAACAGAGAGGCUGGAUGGAGUAACAGAGAGGCUGGCUGGAGUAACAGAGAGGCUGGCUGGAGUAACAGAGAGGCUGGCUGGAGUAACAGAGAGGCUGACUGGAGUAACAGAGAGGCUGGAUGGAGUAACAGAGAGGCUGGAUGGAGAAACAGAGAG